GCCGCCUUAGCUCAGUUGGAAGAGCUCUCCACUUGUAAUGGAACGGUCGUCGGUUCGAUUCCGACAGGCGGCU
rnacentral:tRNA from 4 species